rnacentral:rRNA from 1 species
UACGGGGGGGGCAAGCGUUGUUCGGAAUUACUGGGCGUAAAGGGCCAGUAGGCGGCCAACUAAGUCCGACGUGAAAUCCCCAGGCUUAACCUGGGAACUGCAUCCGAUACUGGAUGGCUUGAAUCCGGGAGAGGGAUGCAGAAUUCCAGGUGUAGCGGUGAAAUGCGUAGAUAUCUGGAGGAAUACCGGUGGCGAAGGCGGCAUCCUGGACCGGCAUUGACGCUGAGUGAGCGAAAGCCAGGGGAGCAAACGGG